CCUACGGGAGGCAGCAGUGGGGAAUUUUGGACAAUGGGGGCAACCCUGAUCCAGCCAUUCCGCGUGAGUGAAGAAGGCCUUCGGGUUGUAAAGCUCUUUCGCAAGGGAAGAAAACUUAUGAUCGAAUAAAUCAUGAGGUUGACGGUACCUUGAUAAGAAGCGCCGGCUAACUACGUGCCAGCAGCCGCGGUAAUACGUAGGGUGCGAGCGUUAAUCGGAAUUACUGGGCGUAAAGCGUGCGCAGGCGGUUUUGUAAGUCGGAUGUGAAAUCCCCGGGCUCAACCUGGGAACUGCGUUCGAAACUGCAAGGCUAGAGUGUGUCAGAGGGGGGUAGAAUUCCACGUGUAGCAGUGAAAUGCGUAGAGAUGUGGAGGAAUACCAAUGGCGAAGGCAGCCCCCUGGGAUAACACUGACGCUCAUGCACGAAAGCGUGGGGAGCAAACAGGAUUAGAUACCCUGGUAGUCCACGCCCUAAACGAUGCCAACUAGUUGUUGGUAGAGUAAAAUCUAUGAGUAACGUAGCUAACGCGUGAAGUUGACCGCCUGGGGAGUACGGUCGCAAGAUUAAAACUCAAAGGAAUUGACGG
rnacentral:rRNA from 1 species